CCAACCCAUUGUGACCUUACCUAUGUUCUGUUGCCUCGGCGGCGUGGUCAGCGCCCCUCUGAAAAGAGGACGAUGCCCUCCCGCCGGCAGCACCAAACUCUUUGAAUUUUACAGCGGAUUACAGUUCUGAUUUGAAAACAAAAAAACAAGUUAAAACUUUCAACAACGGAUCUCUUGGUUCUGGCAUCGAUGAAGAACGCAGCGAAAUGCGAUAAGUAAUGUGAAUUGCAGAAUUCAGUGAAUCAUCGAAUCUUUGAACGCACAUUGCGCCCGGCAGUAAUCUGCCGGGCAUGCCUGUCCGAGCGUCAUUUCAACCCUCGAACCUCCGUUUCCUCAGGGAAGCUCAGGGUCGGUGUUGGGGCGCUACGGCGAGUCUUCGCGACCCUCCGUAGGCCCUGAAAUACAGUGGCGGUCCCGCCGCGGUUGCCUUCUGCGUAGUAAGUCUCUUUUGCAAGCUCGCAUUGGGUCCCGGCGGAGGCCUGCCGUCAAACCACCUAUAACUCCAGAUGGUUUGACCUCGGAUCAGGUAGGGUUACCCGCUGAACUUAAGCAUAUCAAUAAGCGGAGGAAAAGAAAGUC
rnacentral:rRNA from 1 species